rnacentral:tRNA from 1 species
GCCGAUGUGGCGAAAUGGCAGACGCAACGGACUUAAAAUCCGUUUCCAUUCACGUGGAGUGCGGGUUCGAGUCCCGCCAUCGGUA